rnacentral:rRNA from 1 species
UUCGGGAUGCCGGCGAGUGGCGAACGGGUGAGUAAUACGUGGAAACCUAUCCCUGGGUGGGGGACAACAGCUGGAAACGGCUGCUAAUACCGCAUAAGCCCUAAGGGGGAAAGAUUGAUUGCCGAGGGAGGGGUCCACGUCGGAUUAGCUAGUUGGUGGGGUAAAGGCCUACCAAGGCGACGAUCCGUAGCUGGUCUGAGAGGAUGAACAGCCACACUGGGACUGAGACACGGCCCAGACUCCUACGGGAGGCAGCAGUGGGGAAUAUUGCGCAAUGGGGGAAACCCUGACGCAGCGAUGCCGCGUGGGUGAAGAAGGCCUUCGGGUUGUAAAGCCCUUUCAGUGGGGAAGAUAGUGACGGUACCCACAGAAGAAGCUCCGGCUAACUCCGUGCCAGCAGCCGCGGUAAUACGGAGGGGGCGAGCGUUGUUCGGAAUUACUGGGCGUAAAGGGCGCGUAGGCGGUAUUGCAAG